UACAGAGGUCUCAAGCGUUGUUCGGAUUCAUUGGGCGUAAAGGGUGCGUAGGCGGCGCGGUAAGUCGGGUGUGAAAUCUCGGAGCUUAACUCCGAAACUGCAUUCGAUACUGCCGUGCUUGAGGACUGGAGAGGAGACUGGAAUUUACGGUGUAGCGGUGAAAUGCGUAGAUAUCGUAAGGAAGACCAGUGGCGAAGGCGGGUCUCUGGGCAGUAACUGACGCUGAGAAGCGAAAGCGUGGGGAGCGAACAGG
rnacentral:rRNA from 1 species